CUUAAUUUUAACCAAAACAACUCAAGAUUGUCUGCCCUUUGGGGAUGGGUCCGAAGAGCACCAACAUCUUGGGGAGCCAGUUUGUUUAACUGAGGAUCAGGAGACUGCCUGUGAGAAUAGAACUAAAUGGAUGCCCUUCGAGCAUCCCUUCACCCCUUCUGUGCCAGUGGUUCCCCAGUGAACUUGCAGUCUCUGCAUGCUGCCCCCUAAUGGAGCUGAGAACUUCCCAGCCUAGUCCUACAGAGAAGUCAUAUGGAGCCCUGUAGGACACCUCUGCAUUCACUCAAGGCAAGGCUCUAGAAAGUCUGCAGGAGCCUCAAGAACAAUUCCAUUCUUCUGGGAGGAAGUACAACCUUGGCUGGAAGAUGAGGGAAUUGAGGCCCAUACAAAUUCACAACCUGCCCAAGGUAUGGAUCCCAAAUACGAACAACAGCAUUCUGACUCCUGAGUCCACAGCACUAUUCUGCCCCUUGUCAAUUUCUAAAAGAGAGCCAUUCAAAGGAAGACAGAGAAUCAACCCAGGGGAAUGAUCUUGCCAGGUAAGACUGUUCCAAAUACAUACUUGUUUUAUUUCUCUAUUUCCAUAACAAUACAAAGAUGCUUAGAACAAUAAUGGUUCAAAAUAAUUUCUGCACCACUGAUAUGUAUUGUCUGCAUAAAAUUUAGGCACAAAUUUUAUGGACCCCUCAAUGUGAAUUAAGAGCUAGAGUUCACAAAAUGUUGGAGUUAGAAUAAUUUAAAGUUAUUCAUUUUCUAGAUAGGGUGGCAUUUGCUGAACUGUCAGGGGUUCCCAAACAUGGCUAUA